rnacentral:lncRNA from 1 species
AGAAAUGAGAUGGGGGAAAAGGAGCAAAGAUUUGAAGGGUAAGGGGGUUUGACCUGCUGCCGUGGGCUUUGAAGAUGAGGAAGGGGGCCAUGAGCCAAGGAAUGCAGGUGCCUCCAGAGGCUGGAAACUGCCCUCAGCUGACAGCCAGCAGGGAAACGGAGACGCCAGUCCUACAACCUCAGGGAAAUAAAAUCUGCCAACAACCCGAGUGAGGAGGAAACGGAUCCUCCCCCAUGGCUUCCAGAAAGGAACACAGCCUGCGGACGCCUGUUUAAGGGGGGUGAGCCCCGUGUUGGACUUCUGGCCUCCAGGACUGUAAGACGAUAAAUUUGUGUCGCUUAAGCUGCGAAGUUUGUAGUCAUUCGUGAUGGCAGCCACAGGAAACCAACACAGUGUGGAAAUGACUCUUUCUUUCCGCAAGGGCGCUGUGCGUGGCCGAGGGUCCACCGUGGAUGACCGGGGGCUCUGCUGUGGACAGUGAGUGACCACCAUGGACAAGUGUGUGUUUGUCUGUGGACACGGUCGUUCCCCUGUCCCCUGACUGCCCCCCACUUGUUACCGGGAGGUCUGGAGGUUGGGUGGGGCCUGUCCUGCCUCCCUCAGCCCCUGCUCCUUCUCUCUGAACCUCUGGUGUCGGAGCCCACAGAGUCCUCCAAAGGAUGUGGGUCUCAUGGGAGCUGCAGGGGGCCCCCAAGCUGGGACCCUGCUGACCUCAUGACCUUUAGAAAUGGAUGGACAGCCUCAACUCAGACGGAAGAUUCACUCCUGAACCAGAUUGUCGCUGAGAUAACAUCUGUGCCCAUCUUCCUCUAUUUUUUGUGGGACACCGCCUCAGCAUGGCUUGACAAGCGGUGCUAGAUCUGUGCCCGGGAUCUGAACCUGUGAACCCCGGGCCACCGAAGGGGAGCACGUGAACUUAACCACUAUGCCACUGGGCCAGCCCCUCGAUGAAUUUUUAAGUUGCAUCCAUGGCAAUUGAACACAAGACCACAUCUCGUCAAUCCGAGUAAAUGCUCACGCAGUAUCCAGAAAUCUUACCACCUGUUUCUCUAAAAGAGACCCCAGCAUUCUGUUAUUGCCCAGUUUUUUAGUUGGGUUUCUUUACACCAGGCAAGUAGGUGAUUCUGGGAGUAAGAAAUUAUCUUUUUUAUUAAAAACAUGACUUU